UACGUAGGGUGCGAGCGUUAAUCGGAAUUACUGGGCGUAAAGUGUGCGCAGGCGGCGUUGCAAGUCGAGUGUGAAAUCCCCGAGCUUAACUUGGGAAUUGCGCUCGAAACUACGAUGCUCGAGUGUGGCAGAGGAAGGUGGAAUUCCACGUGUAGCGGUGAAAUGCGUAGAGAUGUGGAGGAACACCGAUGGCGAAGGCGGCUUUCUGGCCCGUUCUUGACGCUGAGGCGCGAAAGCUAGGGUAGCAAACGGG
rnacentral:rRNA from 1 species